rnacentral:rRNA from 1 species
CCUACGGGGGGCAGCAGUGAGGAAUAUUGGUCAAUUGACGAGAGUCUGAACCAGCCAAGUAGCGUGAAGGAUGACUGCCCUAUGGGUUGUAAACUUCUUUUAUAUGGGAAUAAAAUGUUCCACGUGUGGGAUUUUGUAUGUACCAUAUGAAUAAGGAUCGGCUAACUCCGUGCCAGCAGCCGCGGUAAUACGGAGGAUCCGAGCGUUAUCCGGAUUUAUUGGGUUUAAAGGGAGCGUAGGUGGAUUGUUAAGUCAGUUGUGAAAGUUUGCGGCUCAACCGUAAAAUUGCAGUUGAAACUGGCAGUCUUGAGUACAGUAGAGGUGGGCGGAAUUCGUGGUGUAGCGGUGAAAUGCUUAGAUAUCACGAAGAACUCCGAUUGCGAAGGCAGUUCACUGGACUGCAACUGACACUGAGGCUCGAAAGUGUGGGUAUCAAACAGGAUUAGAUACCCCAGUAGUC